GACGAACGCUGGCGGCGUGCUUAACACAUGCAAGUCGAACGGAAGGGCCCUGCUUUUGUGGGGUGCUCGAGGGGCGAACGGGUGAGUAACACGUGAGUAACCUGCCCUUGACUUUGGGAUAACUUCAGGAAACUGGGGCUAAUACCGGAUAGGAGCUCCUGCUGCAUGGUGGGGGUUGGAAAGUUUCGGCGGUUGGGGAUGGACUCGCGGCUUAUCAGCUUGUUGGUGGGGUAGUGGCUUACCAAGGCUUUGACGGGUAGCCGGCCUGGGAGGGUGACCGGCCACAUUGGGCCUGAGAUACGGCCCAGACUCCUACGGGAGGCAGCAGUGGGGAAUAUUGCACAAUGGGCGGAAGCCUGAUGCAGCAACGCCGCGUGCGGGAUGACGGCCUUCGGGUUGUAAACCGCUUUCGCCUGUGACGAAGCGUGAGUGACGGUAAUGGGUAAAGAAGCACCGGCUAACUACGUG
rnacentral:rRNA from 1 species